rnacentral:rRNA from 1 species
AGGGUUUGAUCAUGGCUCAGAUUGAACGCUGGCGGCAGGCCUAAGACAUGCAAGUCGAGCGAGAAAGCCCUUCGGGGCGAGUAGAGCGGCGGACGGGUGAGUAACGCGUAGGAAUCUACCCAGUAGUGGGGGACAACUAGCGGAAACGCUAGCUAAUACCGCAUACGCCCUAUGGGGGAAAGCGGGGGACCUUCGGGCCUCGUGCUAUUGGAUGAGCCUGCGUAAGAUUAGCUUGUUGGUGAGGUAAUGGCUCACCAAGGCAACGAUCUAUAGCUGGUCUGAGAGGAUGAUCAGCCACACCGGGACUGAGACACGGCCCGGACUCCUACGGGAGGCAGCAGUCGGGAAUAUUGCGCAAUGGGGGAAACCCUGACGCAGCCAUGCCGCGUGUGUGAAGAAGGCCCUAGGGUUGUAAAGCACUUUCAAUUGGGAGGAAAAGCUAAUGGUUAAUAACCAUUAGCCCUGACGUUACCUUUAGAAGAAGCACCGGCUAACUCCGUGCCAGCAGCCGCGGUAAUACGGAGGGUGCGAGCGUUAAUCGGAAUUACUGGGCUUAAAGAGUUCGUAGGUGGUUAAAAAAGUUGGUAGUGAAAUCCCAGAGCUUAACUCUGGAACUGCUAUCAAAACUUUUUAGCUAGAGUAUGAUAGAGGAAAGCAGAAUUUCUAGUGUAGAGGUGAAAUUCGUAGAUAUUAGAAAGAAUACCAAUUGCGAAGGCAGCUUUCUGGAUCAUUACUGACGCUGAGGAACGAAAGCAUGGGUAGCGAAGAGGAUUAGAUACCCUCGUAGUCCAUGCUGUAAACGAUGUGUGUUAGACGUUGGAAAUUUAUUUUCAGUGUCGCAGCGAAAGCGAUAAACACACCGCCUGGGGAGUACGACCGCAAGGUUAAAACUCAAAUGAAUUGACGGGGACCCGCACAAGUAGUGGAGCAUGUGGUUUAAUUCGAAGAUACGCGCAGAACCUUACCAACACUUGACAUGUUCGUCGCGACUUUAAGAGAUUAAAGUUUUCGGUUCGGCCGGACGAAACACAGGUGCUGCAUGGCUGUCGUCAGCUCGUGUCGUGAGAUGUUGGGUUAAGUCCCGCAACGAGCGCAACCCUCACUUUUAGUUGCCACCAUUUAGUUGGGCACUCUGAAAGAACUGCCAGUGAUAAGCUGGAGGAAGGUGGGGAUGACGUCAAGUCCUCAUGGCCCUUACGUGUUGGGCUACACACGUGCUACAAUGGCAUUUACAAUAGGAAGCAAGAUGGCGACAUCAAGCAAAUCCUAAAAAGAUGCCUCAGUUCGGAUUGCACUCUGCAACUCGAGUGCAUGAAGCUGGAAUUACUAGUAAUCGCGGAUCAGCGCGCCGCGGUGAAUACGUUCCCGGGUCUUGUACACACCGCCCGUCACACCAUGGGAGUUGGUUCUACCUUAAGGCAAAGCUUAUAAACUUUGACCACGGUAUAGUCAGCGACUGGGGUGAAGUCAUAACAAGGUAACCGUA